UACGGAGGGUGCAAACGUUGCUCGGAAUCAUUGGGCGUAAAGCGCACGUAGGCGGACCGCUAAGUCGGAUGUGAAAGCCCUCGGCUUAACCGAGGAAGUGCAUUCGAAACUGACAGUCUUGAGUAUGGAAGAGGGUCGCGGAAUUCCCGGUGUAGAGGUGAAAUUCGUGGAUAUCGGGAGGAACACCAGUGGCGAAGGCGGCGACCUGGGCCAAUACUGACGCUGAGGUGCGAAAGCGUGGGGAGCAAACAGG
rnacentral:rRNA from 1 species